ensembl:lncRNA MALINC1 mitosis associated long intergenic non-coding RNA 1
CGCCCCCUUCUCGCGCGUGAGCGCGCCCUAUCGGCUCCUGGCGCGUCAACAUUCCGCGGGCCAGGCCUUGGGGCGCGUCUGAGGAGGGGGAUGUCUGUGGCCUCUCCGCCCACACUUCCUCCACCCACCGCCCACAGCGCCCCAGAAGGACCUAUUACUCGUUUGGCUUCUGAAGGCCGAAGCCAGGCUCUGGCGGGGAUAGAACCCUGAAGGGCCUGCGCCAGCUCCAACUUAGGGCCCUUAUCUUUUGCUGCCUCUUACGUAUUGUAGGCAGUGCCUGAUGGCUGAGAAGAAUCGCAGAGGACUAGAAAAGGUUUGAGUCUGAAAUUAUCUGGCACAGAGGAUUAAAGCUCAGAAAUAAGUGAUUGCGAAACAGUUCAACUUCCCUGUUAAUGACAACAACAACAGCAACACGCUUAUUAAUUCCUAGCUGGAGCAUCAAGCUUAUGAAGAUUUCCAAGACUUUAUUGUUGACCCUUGUUGAAGAGAACUCUACUUGGCUUCUUUCCUGGCUUUCCUAAAUUGUUCACAUACAAGAUAAACUACCGUCAUUCAGACUUACAGAAGUGAGAAGACAAGCUGAACCAAAUGUAAAAUGGUAGCAAUUUACAGAUGUCAGAACUAACAUGUGGAUGAACUUAGAGAUGGAGAAGAAAGCUGGGCUUUUCCAAAGAGUGGAUCUAUCUGAACUGGAUAGCACUAUUGAACUUUGUUGCAUAUUUUGUGGUAGCUCUAAAACUCCUCUGCUUGCUUACAUACAACCAGACACCAGUGCCUUCUGAAGCUAAUCCAGGCCAUUUUUAUAACCUAAUGCAGUAGCACUUUGCAAUUAGAUGAAGAAGAUCGGUGGGAUUUCUUUCUGUGGUGAUUAAAAUGUGUCAGGGGAAGAAAUCAAGACAAUACUCCAAGUGAAAAAUAUAAAGUCAGUUAUUUCUUUAAUAUUUUGUGUUAUAGUAAUCAUUUUUAUAUUUUGAGCAUACUUUUUCUUGUCUACUUAAAUACUCAAAAUUAAUUAUAAAAUGUAAAUGUAAGCACAAUGAGAUACCAUCUCAUCCCAGUUAAAAUGGCUUUUAUCAAAAAGAUAGGGAAUAAUGAAUACUGGUGGAAGGAUGUGGAGAAUGGGGAACCCUCGUACACUGUCAAUGAGAAUGUAAAUUAGUACAGCCACUAUGGAAAACUGUAUGGAAGUGCCUCCGAAAACAAAGUAGAACUACCAUGUGAUCCAGCAAUUACACUAGUGGGUAUAUAUUCAAAAGAAAGGAAAUCAACAUAUUAAAGAGAUAGCUGCAUUCUCAUGUUUAUUGAAGUCCUGUUGAAAUAGCCAAAAUAUGGAAUCAACCUAAGUGCCCAUCAGUGGAUGAAUGGUUAAAGAAAAUGUGAUUGAUAUGCAAUGGAAUAUUAUUCAGCCAUAAAAAAGAAUGAAAUCCUGGCGGGGCACAGUGGCUCAUGCAAGUAAUCCCAGCACUGACCUCAUGAAGACAGAGAGUAGAUUGGUGGUUACCAGAGGUUGAGAAGGGGAGAGGAGAGGAGGGAUGAAGAGAGGUUGAUUGAUGGAUAGAAAUAUACAGUUUGAUAAUGAUAAAUCAGUAGGGUGACUAUAGUUUAUAAUAACCUAUUGUAUGGUUCAAAAUAGCUAAAAGAGAAUAAUUGAAAUAACGUAAGACAAAAAUUUAAGAUGAUAGAUAUCCCAAUUACACUGAUUUGAUCUUUACAAAUUAUAUGAAUGUAUUAAAUUAUUACAUGUAUCCCCAAAAUAUGUACAAGUAUUUUGUAUCAAUAAAAAAUAAAAUUUAAGAUAAAGUAAAUGUAAUGAUUAGCUUAUAUUUCCUAGAUCGGAAAUAAAUAUUUACUUAAGUAUGUUUAUGAUGAAGAGUUUUUUUAUAUUACUAUAAAAAUAGACACCUUACAUAAACAUAUUACAGUUGGUGUUUAGAUGGCUCUUUUUUUUCUGGCCUUGAAUUUCUGGAAAGUAGGUAUGGCCUGCUAUGUCAGGACUAGUUCUUGGAAUUCUUUGUUGUUUUUCAGUCAGCCUUAUUUUCUUGGGUCAUGUUUUGAACAAUAUUUAUCAAAUGUCUGUUUACCAGACGUUGUUCCAGAUGCUUGAACAAAAUGAAAUGUCUGCUGUCAUAGAGUUUCCAGUCUAUGUAAGACAGUAAACAAAUGUAUAAUAUAAUGCUAGAUAGUGAUAAGUGCUAAAAAGAAGAAGAAAAUAGGAAAGGGGAAAGAGAGUUUCUGUGUGAUUGUAUGUGAAAGUGUCCAUGCAUGCCGCUCACCCAGUAUUUUAAAUAGAGUGAUCAAGGAAGCCUGUCUGAAGAAGUAACAUUUGAACAGAGAUCUGAAAUAGUCAGUCACGGGAACAUUUAGGGAGAUGUUCCAGGCAGGCAUUGUGGACAAUUUAUGUCACAAAAAAGUCACCCAAGUGUUAAGUCAAGUAACAUCCUGUAUGAUAACUAUAUAUACAUUUUUUUGUUUUUUCUUAAGUGAAAAACAAACUUAUUAGGUUUUCUGGGUACUCAUUAGGUUUUCAGAAAAGUUUUUCAUUUAAUAUCAUUAU